rnacentral:misc_RNA from 1 species
UCUCUGGUGACGAUAGCGGUG